UACGUAGGGUGCAAGCGUUAAUCGGAAUUACUGGGCGUAAAGCGUGCGCAGGCGGUUUUGUAAGUCUGUCGUGAAAGCCCCGGGCUUAACCUGGGAAUUGCGAUGGAGACUGCAAGGCUUGAAUCUGGCAGAGGGGGGUAGAAUUCCACGUGUAGCAGUGAAAUGCGUAGAGAUGUGGAGGAACACCGAUGGCGAAGGCAGCCCCCUGGGCUGAGAUUGACGCUCAGGCACGAAAGCGUGGGGAGCAAACAGG
rnacentral:rRNA from 1 species